UACGAAGGGGGCUAGCGUUGCUCGGAAUCACUGGGCGUAAAGCGCACGUAGGCGGCUUUUUAAGUCAGGGGUGAAAUCCUGGAGCUCAACUCCAGAACUGCCUUUGAUACUGAGAAGCUUGAGUCCGGGAGAGAUGAGUGGAACUGCGAGUGUAGAGGUGAAAUUCGUAGAUAUUCGCAAGAACACCAGUGGCGAAGGCGGACUCACUGGCCCGGUACUGACGCUGAGGUGCGAAAGCGUGGGGAGCAACAGGAUUAAGAAACCCGGUGAGU
rnacentral:rRNA from 1 species